rnacentral:rRNA from 1 species
AUUGAACGCUGGCGGCAGGCCUAACACAUGCAAGUCGAGCGAGCGGCGGACGGGUGAGUAAUGUCUGGGAAUCUGCCCGAUAGAGGGGGAUAACUACUGGAAACGGUGGCUAAUACCGCAUACUAUCGGAUGUACCCAGAUGGGAUUAGCUAGUAGGUGGGGUAAAGGCUCACCUAGGCGACGAUCUCUAGCUGGUCUGAGAGGAUGAUCAGCCACACUGGGACUGAGACACGGACCAGACUCCUACGGGAGGCAGCAGUGGGGAAUAUUGCACAAUGGGCGCAAGCCUGAUGCAGCCAUGCCGCGUGUAUGAAGUAGGCCUUCGGGUUGUAAAGUACUUUCAGCGGGGAGGCGUUACCCGCAGAAGAAGCACCGGCUAACUCCGUGCCAGCAGCCGCGGUAAUUC